rnacentral:lncRNA from 1 species
CACCCAUCCAACAGUUCUCACAUUAAUCAGACAGCAAAAGACCACGGAAAAAUUGUUGGCGCUCCUUAAAACUCGGUAAUUCGGGCACUCGAAAUCAUUAAAACACUUUUAUUUUCAUACUAUACAUACGUUAAACCACAUAUAGUAAUUAAAUUUCAAGCCCUUUAACAAUUAACUUCUUUUCUAGUCUUCAUUGCGAACUUCGAUUUGUAUAUUUUUAUCUCAAUAUCUAAUCCUGUACAAUUAAAUUCAUAAUCAUUCACCUCUGAACUAAUCAUAUAAGAUUCAAAUCCUUAACAGAGUUUCAUCUUGUGUGUAGUAAUUAGUAUAAUACAGUAUGCGGCCGGUGCAUUCCAACACUACACCAAGAAGCAUAUACAAAGAUACAUAAGUAUGAGAACUUUUUUAACAGCAAAUUUUCAGUAUCGUGUGAUAUUUUGUUGUUUACAGAUACCCAAAAAAAGGAUCCACAUUCCAAACAAUAUGAUAUAAAUAAUUUUUUUCUUCUACAAACAGUAGAAAAAUCCCAACACUACAAAAUUUCAGAGCAUCCAAACAGGCCCUUUUAAUACAUAGGGCACAGACAAUUCUCAAGUCAUAAUCCAAAUUCCCAAAUGCCUUCACCUGAUGGUUUGAUUUGUAACAACUUGAUAAAAUUGCGUAGAGCUAACCUAAACUUUGAACGGUUUGGAAAUAACUAUCUGAAUUGAAAAUUUUCCAUGCAUGAUCUGCUCAUCUGCCCUCCAUUGCAUUUAGCAAAUAAUCAUUUUUGAGAAAAUGACGGUAGGUUGCUCGCUUCGUUAAUUGAGGUCUUGUUUGGAUAUCUAAAUAACUUAUUUGGUACGAGAGUUUUUUAGUAUGGUCAUAAUUAAAAAAUUUGAUUUUUGUUUCUGCAAAAAUAUUUGCUAUCCAUAAUUUGGUAAUAUAGCAUUUUUCAUUUGCAAAAUAAUAUAUUUUAUUUUGAAAAAAAAAAUAAAAAGCCGAAUAUAAUAUUUCGAGUCCGACUAUGAUGCUUGUCAAAGCAAUAAGUACUUGAUGGUUGUAAAUUUUCCACCGUUAAAUCUAUCAUUUUGACCAAUUUCAUCUCUUAUAUUAUGUUAUUCUACCAACCAUUCUACUCAAUUUUUGGAGAUCACUAUGAUUCUAAUCAUACAAAUCUGCAUCCAAAGGUCAAAAACUUACAAGCAUCAAUCACUUAGGGGCUGUUUGGUUGCAUGUAGUUGUAACCGCACGACUGUUAUAACUAUAUGCAAAUACAAAUUCGGUGUUUGGUUUGAUAUAUUUAACUCCAAUUGCUGUAGUAAGAACUGCAGGAGGAGGUCCAAAUGCAGCUGUUGAAACUAUGCCCAAAUUGGCCGCAGUUCCAACUGCAACAGUUGGAGAGUGUAACUUUAAAUAAAAGAUUGACUGUUCCUAGAGCAAGUGGCAAAGCGCUUGAUGGUUGGUACUCGAGACCCAAGUUCGAAUCCUAGUUGAUUCACAUUUCUAGCUAAGUUUAUUUCUAAAUGAAAUAAACGAAGUGGGUAGCGUGCUACCUAUCUCUCAAAAAAAAAAAAAAAUUUAAUAAUAAGGUAACCUUACCUUUUAAAAUAUUUUUUAAGCAAAUAAUAAAAUUUUUUUUAAUUGGGGUCGUUUGUCUGCGCUGCUAUUUUUAAAUCCGACCUAGUAUCAAUGGAAUAAAAAUAUGACGGUGUUCGGUUAAGCGACUAAGGUAAUCUAGUUGGUAAUAUUAGGAUUCACUAUGGGAAUAAGAUUGCACACAAAGUACUAAUCCAUGUCCCUUGAGGGAGGUGGGUAUCUUAUAUUAAUGGAUUGUGAUGUAUCAUAAUUAUACUAACACUUUUCUUCUUCCUACAGCCGCUAAUUGAUAUUAUUCUUAUCUACUCUAAUCUUAUAUCUCUCUAAUUAUAUUUCUCUAAAGUUCAACGUUUUUUAGCUCCUCCUAAACUAAGCUUUCUCUCUCUCUCUUUCUAAAAUUUCAACUCUCUCACUCCUUCUAAUUUCGACUAUAUUUUUCUUCCUAUUUUUUUAAUUAUGCUCUCUCUCUCUAAUUUAUACUCUCUCUCCCUUUUUUCUAAAAAGAUGUUGAAACUUUUGAUAACAUUGUCUAAAAUUAAUUAAAUAAAUAAAUUAAUUAAUUGUAUAAUUUUUGUAAUAUUAAAUAACAUGGCUAAUUAAUAUUACUGUGUGAACCAAACACAGGAAUUCCACAUUCUUAGUAAUAGAAUGAAUAGUAAUAAGAUUCUCGGAUAUCUUUUAUUCCUAGUAAUCUUUUAUAAUGCGAACCAAACGCACCCUGAAGGUAAUCUUACCAUUAUAUAUAUUAAAUGAUAAAAUUUUAAAAAUUAUUUCUCAACUGCAUGCAACCAAAUAAAUUAUUUAUAGUUACAGCGCUUUCCACUACAUCCAACCAAACAUGAUGCAUGUAGUUGUAAUUGCUGGAUUUCCAACUGCAUGCAUCUUCAAUUACAUUUAAAAGUAUAAGAACUCAAUUCUAAUAUUUUAUUCUUAAUAACGGAUGAAAAUUCUGUGCCCAAUUACACGAAUGCAUCAAGCAUAGCUGGUGAACUUAAAAUGGAAAAAAGCAACCCAACACCCCAUUUAUGGGUGGAUGAUUUAUCCUCAUUCAUUUAAUAGGUAAUUUUUUUUUAUUUGUCACAACAGGUAAUAAGUAAAAAAAAUCUCACCGUUUAGAUGAGUAAGAUAUACGAUAUACAAUAUUUUUGGACAGUAUGAAUAGUAUUGCUCAAUAAAAAUCCGUUCGCUUUUAAAACCAGUUUAUUAUUAAAAAAAAUCUACAGAAUUGCAAAGAGUAACAUCUUUUAAGCAAAUUUGUGUUCCGACAUAAGCGCAAGCCGAGAAUCGCGAGAGCGUUGCUUUAAUUCCACAUUUUUAAUAUUUUCUGAAAAACUCGAGAUAUUUCCAAUAAAGCCUAAUAACAUGAUGCAUCAGAGAAGAACAACGAAUUAUUUCGAGCAAACCAUGACAAAUUCAACAUAUAACAACAGCGAGGUUAAUUAAUUAUGCGAAAAGAAUCACCAGAAGAUGUAAGAGCGAAUCCACGAGCUUACAAGCAAGUCGCAAAUCGAACACGAUUUAAUUCGGAAAAAAAAAGAAAAAAAAAAUACGAUUCGGAUUGGAUUGAGAGAUAGAUUGAUCGAAUUGAAAGGAAAAGAAGAAAAGAGUGAAAAAAGAAGGGGAGAAAUUGGUCACCUUCGCCCUCAUCGGUGCCUCUCUCAAAGCUUCUCGCUCCUAAUAGAGAGCGGGGGGCCCUCCGUACCUGUUUCUGUAUUUGUAGAUCCAGGGUUUGUUUUGACCAGAGGAAAGAUAAAAGAAGAUGGGCCUACAUGGGCCGCAUAAGGUACAAAUUACAAGUGGAAAACAAUCAUUAAUGGGCCACAAUCGGUUCAUCGUGUUGUCUAGAAUGAAUGUUGUACCGGCCUGGCCCGAUAUUUAUUGGGAUCAACCCGCCAACUCUCAAUGAUUAGACAAGACAAAUCCCCGAGACACUAGUACGAGAACACGGAAAUGACCCAAAAUUCUAUUUUUUUUUUUUUUUUUUUUUGUCUUUAUUUAGAAUAUCGUAAGGAAUUCAGCAUCCACCAUUCUCCUUCAAAGAUUAUAUAUUGACAUACCCAUUUAUUACACACAGUUUAAAAACUUGUACAGUAUCACAAUCGAUGGUAGAGCUGCGGGGAGACCAAAGCAGAGUAUGUAGCCAUAUAUUUAUGCUUUAAUAGGAAAAAAGAGGAGAGAAAAUAGUACAUACCAAAAGUAGCAAAAGCAAUACAUAUACUUCAAACAAGACAACUCCCCAAAUCUAGACACGCUCGAAGCCUCCUCACCCAUGCACAGCCAUGGGCAUGCGUUCACGCGCGAUUAACGUUUGCUUUCGAAUUGAGGACGACGUAAGCCUUCGCCGCCAGAGCUAACAGCGGGACCAAGAACACAACGGCCAUCGCCGCGCGCUUGGCGAAUGCCACGGCACCACCGCCUCCGGAGCCGCCUGCGCUGUCACCUUCACCGGCAUCGUCACUGCCAUUGCUGACAAUCGGCUGAGGGAGGCGGAGGAAGAGGAGGAGGAGGAGGAGGAUGGCGAGGAAGAGGAGAAUGGUGAGGAAGAGGACGGCGUAGGCGACAGAGAGGGCGCCGGGAAGGGAUUUUGCUAUGGGGUAGUAGGUGGUGCUUCCCACGAUCACCGUCUCCGUUAUCGCCCCCACCACGGCUUUAAUGGCGUUGGAGCUGUCGACGUUCAUUGUAACGGCGUUGGAGCUGUCGACGUUCAUUGUGACUAACCUUGCAACUAUAUGUGUAAGGGUGUGGAGGUAUUUAUAGUGUGAGAGAGGGGCCCACGAAGUGCGUUUGUAGCAAGGUCAAGCGAUGCGUUGGGAGGAGGAACGCGUAGGGAACAAAGUCUUUUGCUAAAUAAGUACUGUAGCAAUGGAAAGAACUUGAGGAAUGGACUUGAGGAAGAUUUGCUAACUUUUUUUUUUGCUAACUUUUUUUUGCUAACUUUUUUCGCUAACUUUUUUUUGCUAACUUUUUUUGCUAACUUUUUUUGCUAAACAGGUACUGGAGCAAUGGAAAGAACUUGAGGAAAGACUAAACAGGUACUGUAGCAAUGGAGAGAACUUGAGUUUUAACUUUGACUUCAAAGUCUUUUGCUAAAUAAGUACUGUAGCAAUGGAAAGAACUUGAGGAAUAUUUGCUAACUUUUUUUUUUGCUAACUUUUUUUGCUAACUUUUUUCGCUAACUUUUUUUUGCUAACUUUUUUUGCUAACUUUUUUUUGCUAAACAGGUACUGUAGCAAUGGAAAGAACUUGAGGAAAGACAAAACAGGUACUGUAGCAAUGGAAAGAACUUGAGUUUUAACUUUGACUUUUUUUGCUAAACGUGAGUUUUAACUUUUGCUAACUUUUUUUGCUAAACAAGUACUGUAGCAACGGGAUAUUAUUUAUAUUAUUUGUAUAUGUACAUUAACAUAUUUGGAAAGAACUUGAGGAGAGACUAAACAUGUACUGUAGCAAUGUACAUUAACAUAUUUGGAAAGAACUUGAGGAAAGACUAAACAGGUACUGUAGCAAUGGAAAGAACUUGAGUUUUAACUUUGACUUUUUUUGCUAAACCGUUACUGUAGCAAUGGAAAGAACUUGAAUUUUAACCAUAGUUAGUUAAUUCGCGAAUUAUUCGCGAAUAAUUCGUGAAUUUUUUAAAACCCGAAUAAAACGGCCGUUUUCGUAUUUUUCCCAAAAAUUCAAAAAAAUUCGCGUUUUUUUGGGUAAAAAUAAUUAUUCGUGAAUUAAACGGGAUUCGCGAAUAAUUCGGCCCAAAAAAACGGCCCGGUUGCUGGUUGCUACCAGCCUGCGCGCGGAGUCACGGACGCGGACUCACGGGCCUCGCGGUCGCGGGUGGCCCAACCGCCCAAAACAGGAGAAAAAAAAAAAAACUUCGAACCAAACGCCCUGCCCUGUCGCCCAAAAGGCCAAAAAAUAAUAAUAAUAGUAAGAUUGAAUUUUAUUAUAUUAUUUUUUGAUCAUAUAUAUAUAUAUAUAUAUAUAUAUAUAUAUAUAUAUAUAUAGAGUCCGGUUACUAUUUAUGCUGAUCGGUAGCACGGACGCUCGUGCUACCAAGUUGUUUUCGAUGAUGUGGCUUCCAAAUCGACGAUCGCUCCGUUAGACUUGAUCUACACUAUUGAAAGUAUUUGGAAACUAAAUUUCAGAUUUUUUCGACAUCAUUGAUACGUGAUCAAAAGAUCUCAAAAUUGACAAGUUUAAAUGGCCGGAUGUGGUGUGUUUGUGAGUUUAACGGUGUAAACAAUCCAAAUGCGAUGAAAAUUUUAUUAGAAAAUUCUUUUCAUUAUUAGAGUAAGAUCAGUAUAUCUGAUCUUGAAUUAAAUCUUUUAUCAUUAUUUUUCAUGAGAUUUUAUUUUCAGCGUUCAAUUUAGAAUACUUGUUUGAUAGGUAAAUGAUAUCAAAAAUUAUGAAAAUUAGUUUCUAAAUAUUUUAAUAUGUAGAUCAAGUCUAACAGAGCCGAUCGUCGAUUUGGAAGCCGCAUCAUCGAAAACAACUUGUAGCAUGGAGCGCUCCGUGCUACCGAUAGUAUAGUAGCCUAGUCUCUAUAUAUAGAGUCGGGUUACUAUGCUAUCGGUAGCACGGAGCGCUCCGUGCUACCAAGUUGUUUUCGAUGAUGUGGCUUCCAAAUCGACGAUCGGCUCCGUUAGACUUGAUCUACACUAUUGAAAGUAUUUGGAAACUAAAUUUCAGAUUUUUUCGACAUCAUUUGACUAGUGAUCAAAAGAUCUCAAAAUUGACAAGUUUAAUGGCCGAUGUGGUGUGUUUGUGAGUUUAACGGUGUAAAACAAUCCAAAUGCGAUGAAAAUUUUAUAGAAAAUUCUUUUCACUAUUUAGAGUAAGAUCAGUAUAUCUGAUCUUGAAUUUAAAUCUUUUAUCAUUAUUUUUCAUGAGAUUUUUAUUUAGAGCAGAGCUACUUAUAAGUUUGAACAAGUGUGAAUUGAAAUGACGCAUCAUAUAUAGUCACAAUAAAAUCGUACUUUUUAAAUUAAAUCAUAUUCUACAGCAGAACUAAACAUACUACAUAAGCCGGAUCAAACCUAAAGCCUCAAGUGCUCAAGCUCUUAUCAACAUUCUACAUUUCAGCGUCUCCAAAUUGUAAUGCUUCGGCCCUUUUAAUUUGUACUAUAUGGACAAAAAUAUUAGGUAAAAAUGUAUAUAAUUUAUGUAAUAUAAGUAUUAUUUCGAUUCGACUAUUCAACCUUUCAAAAUUUUAAUUAUUCUACAGUAAUCCUUCAAUUUAUUUGAUUUGAAUAAGUUAAUGGCACUUUGACUAUAAAAAUUGAAUAUAUUAUUUAUUAUUAUAAAUUUAGUUAGUAUAUUUUAUAUAUUUCUUACAACUAUAAAUUUAUUAAAAUAAUUAGAUUCAAAUUUAAAAUUAAAGUGACGCUGACUAACUCAAAUCAAAUAAAUUAAAAAAAUUAGACUGUAAAAUUAUAGUUUUAAAAAAUUAAAUAGUUAACUUAAAAUAAUUUAUAAUUUAUAUCAGUUGUGUAUGUUUUUAUCAAAACACUAUAUAAAAAGUUGAUAAUCGACCAUAGCGCGUAGGGAAUGUCUUCGUGUGAUGUGAUGUAGGUCAUCUUGUCACCCCCUCCACACCUGCUUUUCUAAUCCACAGCUGGAGUUGUGUUUGUCUCCCACGAGGCCACGAGACCGACCGUUCUUAGGGCAUGUUUGGUUCAUCUAUUUUAAACUAUAAAAUCGAAAUGAAAUUUAUUGAUUCCGAUAAUUGCUGUUUGUUUUAUAGGAAUCGAAUUACGAUUUUCAUUCCACUCCGGAAUGGAAAUGGCCAAAUCCAUUUAUGAUCCAAUCCAACUUUGAAUUCCGGAUUGACUCAUUCCAAAGUAUACUAUUCAAAAUCCUCUUUCAUUAACACCUACCUCCUCUCCCUUCAUCAAUUUCCUCUCUCUUAAUUAAAACCCUCUCUAAAAAAUUUUAAAUUUUCAUUCCGAUUUCCAUUCCAGUAAUGAACCAAAUAUUUUUGGAUGAUUCGUCAUUUCAUUUUCCAUUCCAAAGCAAUUCAAUUCCAUUUCCGACUUCUAUUCCAAUCAUGAACCAAACAUGCCCUUAGAGUAAGUGGCAAAGAAUUUGAUGGUUGGUAUCUGAGAUCCCAAAUUCGAAACCUAGUUGAUUCACAUUUCCAGCUAAGUUUAUUUCUAAAUGAAAUAAACUAAGCGGGUAGCAUGCUACCUAUCUCUUAAAAAAAUAUAUAUAUAUUAAAAAAAUGUGCUGAUACAAAGAGCGUAUUUAUAAUACUUAAGGACUCAGUCAUAGCACUCGCGGGUUUCGACCUGGCUCAACCCAUCUAGAUAUGGAAUUUAUUGUUGGGCCUUUUGCCGUUAGACCUCUUAUGGACCGCAGCCCCACUUAACUUAUUAGCCUCACUAAACUCAAUUUAUUAGUCUUUUGGGCUUAUUAUCACGCGGCAGAAAGUUAAACCUAUUUUAGCCCAAUAAUAAAUAGUCAACAUUUUUUUGCCACAAAUAUUUCACGUAGAAACAAUAUUAUUCAGUUAUACAUUUUUAUCUUAAAUAAAAGUAUAAGAUGCUUCGCAAUUUUUUUUUUUUUAUUUUUUAUUUUUUAUUUUUUAUUUUUUGCUGUAACAAUUAUUUUAUAUAAGAAUAAUUUUGUCUAAUCAUAUAUUUUUAUUUUACAAAUGAAAAUUUUGUUUCGCAUUAUUUGAGCUUUGAAGUCAUUAUAUUGCCAAUAAUAUAAUAAUCUCUACAAAUCUUAUGUUAAGGGCCCAUUAACCCAUGUUUUUCCCAACACUGCAGAACAAGCCCAGUAGACCACAGCCUCAUCCUCCCACUUUUAGGGGGACAAACCCAUUUACCGUUUUUGUCUUGUUCGUUGACCUUUUGGCUCAGGACUAUCUUAAGUCAACCAACAUAACAUGAUCUACUAUUUUUGUUCAACUCAGAUUAAAGUCCUACGUUACCACACGUCGCAUGCUUUUUAAUUAGCUUAUUGGCAGGUUAAAUGAGAUCUGCGGCACUCCAAUAGUCAAUUAUCGAAUGAUAAUAAGAUUUGAGAGCUGUAAAAAAAAAUUAAUGAUUAGCAUAUUAUCAGAGACAUGUCUUGUUCUAACAUUUCAGGUCUAUAGUUUGAGAUACUAGGUAAUUCGACUAAGUUGAAUUAGAUCCUGACUCCUGAGUAGAGAUAACAAUUGCCAUUUUGCGACUACUUGAUGUCUAGGCAUGAACUUGAACUUUCAUAAUUACAAUUUUUCAUGUUUACAUAUGAUAGAUUUUUAACUCGCUAGGUGGUACAAGUCCAAGAGACUUCCUAAGCCAAACUUCUUUUUUUUUUUUUUUUUUUUCCUUUGUAAGAAAUGCUACAUCUUAUCCAGAUGCUUAAACAAUCUAGUUUGAUGUUUAGCAUUAAAAAGAAAAUACAAAAGUAAUAAGACUGAUGUGAAAAAAAAAAAAAUUUCUUUGAUGGGAAAAAAAUGCAUGAUUUAGCUCUACAUACUACUCACUUCAUUCAUUUGCUUUUAAAACCAAACUUACUUAAAAAUGUAAAAUAAUUAAAUUUUUUGAAAUUUUGGAUAUCAAUCAUUAAGACUUUUGACACUUGAACUAGGAGACAAACUAUUUCCUGUCCCCUUACGGAUCUCCGAAAGGAAACGGAGGAACUGCUUUUUCCACAAGCUGAGUACUAUAAAAUGUCAUUCCUUACAAAACUCUCUCUUCAUCUCACAUUCAAUCAAAUCAACCAAAGUUGAACAUGUCUAAUAUAGCGACAGAAGCACCAGCAAUACCUACGUCGGCAGCCGCUGACGCCGCUGUGUCGAUGGAGGCCGAGGACGGGCGCAAUGUUCAAAGUCGCAAUCUCCAUAUCCACGAUAGCUUCCUGCGGCAUUCUCUGCUCUCCGACCAUCGGACAUGGCGGCGGUAGCAGCGUACCGAGGUCGACGAUGUCGCGUUACAAAUUCUUCGCGGUGUUUUAUGCGGUCGCGGUGCUCGCAGCAUUCACUCUUGGGUUUCUUCUUCUGGUGCUCUCGGUGCCGGUUGGGCCCCAGCAGAGGGCCGCGGCCGCCACCGCCGCAAGGAAGCUGAUCAUGUGGGUUAGUCUAUGGAUGGUUUAUGUUGCUGUGGUCGCUGAAACUUUUGUAGCAUUGGUGGAAAGCUUAGAAACUUGAGAAGUAGCACCCAUGAGGUAUGCUGCAUAUGUAUAGGAGAAGUAUUGGAGGUAUACUUGGGAAUGAGGAGUGCAUGGUAAGCAAGAUGUCAGGACUCAAAAAUUUUCUCCGAGAUUUUUCUUUACAAUCACUCAAACUUCAAAAUGGAUAUCUGUCGGAGGUUCUGCUUGAAUCUUCUAGAAGCUUCUAUGUGGACCUCGAGACUGAUGGCGCAGGAACCGAGAAAUCUCUUAGAGUUUCUAUAUUUCUAAAAGACUUAUUUAUUAGGACUCUUGGGAGCUCGUAACCUCCCAUUUUGGCUUAUAGUUUUGUGCCACUUGGUAUCUUUUUAUUUGUUUUAUAGGCGGCGAGUGGCCUUUAAAUAGUUGUGGCCUCCACCCUCAACUCAGAAUUCUUAUUUGUAUUCUCUCUACUUCAAAAUAAUAAAAGAGCUUUCUUCAUAUCUCUCUUGUACUUACUUUAGGACGAGUGAGGUCCUAACUUAGCAAGCAGAGAAGCAGGCUUGUCCAUUUUCGAGCAGGAAGGCGGGCGCCGCACGGACUUUGCGAACAAAACCGUUAAGUCCGUGACAAAGUGGAUUGGAGAUGUAUCAUAAAAAUGUUAAGUAAGAUGAUUAUAACAUAGAAAAAGGUAAAAUCUUAGUUAGGCCAUUUGACCAGUUCAAAAAUUAUACGUGUUAGACUCUCAUAAUAUAUGCUUUGUAACGUCCAAAUAAUUCCAUAUCGGAUGAAAAAAUAAUUCUGAUUAGAAUAUAUGAGGCAUCGCACGCUAGUUAUAAUAACUGAAUUUAAGUAUUUUGGAUAGAUGGUUGGAUCUAACGCAUUAUUAUUACUAGCAGGUCGGACUAUUAUAAUUAGUACCAAACCGAAUGCGAGUUGCUAAUAAUAAUUGAGCUCAUAUGGUGUUAUUAUUGCUAAGCGGGCAACAAAUUGCAAAAAUAUAUGCUUUACAAGCAGUUUAGUUAUUUCAUAUUUUCAACUAAGUUAUUUUGUGAUAAAAUAAAUAAAUAAAUAAUGAAAAUAUGUGCUUUACAAACAGUCUAGUUAUUUUAUAUUUUCAACUAAAUUAUUUUCUAAUAAAAUAAAUAAAUAAAUAAAUAAAUAAAUAAAGAAAAAGGAUAGCAUGUUAGAUAGCAUGUUACCGUUCUCUCUUUAAAAAAAAAAUUGCAAAUUAUCUAAGACUCAUAUUCCUAAUUUAAUUCUAGACCAAAUAAAGCACUUGGAUUGGACUGGGCUGCGAGAAUGCAUACUGUGCCACCAUAAAUUUUAAAAAUUAAAUNUCUAUAUAUAUAUAUAUAUAUAGGUCCGGCUACUAUACUAUUAUGAGUACGAUCGCUCUCGUACUCAUAAAUCGUUUUCGAUGAUAGAGCUUCCGAAUCAACGAUCCAUACCGUUAAACAUUAUUUACAGCAUUUAAAAUUUCUAGAAAUCAAAUUUUAUAAUUUUUUGAGAUCAUUUACCUUACAAUCAAGAGGUCACAAAUUUGACAAUUUUUAAUGGCCGGUAUGGAAUACUUGCUAGUUUAAUGGUGUAAAAGAAUCGAAAUUUGUUGAAUUUUUAAUAAAAAAUUCUAUUUACUACCUAAAUAAAAAUCAAUAACUCCGAUCUUGAAUCGAAGGAUCCGAUCAUCCAUUCUAAGUCGUUCGAUUUUGACCGUUCAUUUUAUGCCCGCUAGAUGAACUUUAUUAUGAUUUCGAAAAUUUACGAAAUUUAUUUUCUAGAAGUUUCAAAUACUCUAGAUCAUAUUUAAUGGAGUGGAUCGUCGAUUCGGAAGCUCCAUCAUUGAAAAUAACUUAUGAGUACGAGAGUUCCAAUACUCAUAAUAGUAUAGUAGCCAUGGCCUAUAUAAGUAUAUAUAUAAAGAGCAAGGCUACUGUGCUAUUAGGAGCACAGUAGACCUUGUGCUCCUAACUUUCUAACCACCCAUCAAAUUUGAUGGAUGGUUACAAUAAGAUAAGGAAUUAGAGAUAUUGGGAAGAGAUAAAGGUAUACUUGAAAUAACUAGGAACGUAAAAAGGGUAUUUUUAAUAUUAACUUUCUAAGAGGAAUAAAUUAGAAAAUCGAAAACUUUUCAGUAGUAUAAAAGCAAUUGCCCCUAUUUAAUAUAAAAUGAUUUAAAAUUUUAAUUUGAAUCCUUGCUCUUCCGAAAUAAAAUUUUAGUAUCCUCUUUUUAUUAAUCAGCUAAAAGAUGAUAAGAUUAAAAAAAAUUGUUUUAAAAAAAAAGCUAAAUUGAUAAUUUUUAUUUUAAAUAAGAUUAAAGUAUAGAAUUCAGUCACAAAGUUCAUCCAAACAUGCCCUAAUUCAUAGGGCACCGACAUUUCUCAAGUCAUUGUCCAAAUUUCCAUCUGCCGUCGUCUGAAGUGUUGAUUUGUAACAACUUAGAUAAAAUUGCGUAGAACAAACUUAAAACUUUGGAACGACUUGGAAACAAUUAUGUGAAUUGAAAAUUUUCCUUGCAUGAUCUCUUCAUCUGCCCUCUAUUACAUGCAUUUAACAAAUUAUCUUUUCUGAGGAAAAGACUGUAGGUUGUUGGCAUAGCAUAUAAUCCGCUUCGUUUAUUUCAUUUAGAAAUAAAUUUCACUUAUUUGGGUGUCAAAAUAACUUAUUUGGUAUGGAACUUUUUCGGUAUGAUUGUAGUUUAAUUUUUUGUUUCUUAAUUUACAAGUUUUGCUCUCCGUGAUUUAAUAGGAUAGUAUAUUUUAUUUCUGAGUUAAUUUAUCUAUUCUGAAAGAAUAAUUUGAAAACCGAAUAUAAUAUUCUAUUUUAAAUAUUUGAUUAUAUUUUUUAUCUAUCAAAUAAAAUUUUUUUGAAAAAAUUAAGAAAACAAAUGGAAUAAGAUAUUCGUUCACUAAAGAGGGCUUAAAUGCUAUGAAUUUUACAAAUAUCAGUGAGGCAACUAGGUAUUCCAUUCUAAAUAUUUUAUUAUAUUUUAUAUCUAUUAAAUAAAUAAAAUGUUUAAAUAAAUUAAAAAAUAUUAGUUAUAUAUUAUCCAACAAGAAUAUCGUGAGAAAUUAAACACCCAUCAUUCUCUUUCAAUAAGGAUAUUAGAUAUAUAUUGACAUGCCCAUUUAUCGCACAAAGUUUUGUACAGUAAUAUAAUGGAGGGUAGAGCUGAGGGGAGACCAAAGCAAAGUACGUAGUCGUUUAUUUAUACUUUCAAUACACGAAAAAAAAAAAGAAAAGAAAAAAAAAGAGAAAGUAGUACACACCAAAAGUGGCAAAAUAGAGUAGCACAUCAUAUACCUGGGACAAGACAAGUCCCCAAAUAAAAGACACGCACGAAGCCCCUGUACCCAUGCACAGCCANACCGUAAGCGGCUCGCGUGCCGCCACCGGCAGCACAAGAACCAGGGCGACAAUCGACACCGCCGCUUCAGCACUCGGCCGAGGGAGGCGGAGGCGGAGGAGGAGGAGGAGUAUGGCGAGGAAGAGGAGAAUGGCGAGGAAGAGGGCGGCGUAGGCGACGGAGAGUGCGCCGGGAAGGGAAUCUGCUAUUGGGCAGUAGGUGGUGGACCCCACGAUCACCGUCUCCGUUAUCGCCCCCAUCACGACUUUAACGGCGUUGGAGCGGUCGGCGGCGGCUCCCCCUCCUCCUUCCGCUUCUGCAGCAACUUGAUCACCUUCCCCUCCUCCUUCCACUACUACCACAACUUCACCUCCCUCUCCUCCUCCUCCUUGUUCAUCUGCUCCCACAACUCCACCACCAACAAACACUCCUCCACCACCCUGAUCUCCUCCUAUUACAUUCAUUGUCGCUCACCUUGUUAACGAAAUGUGUACGUACCUGAACCAAUAUAAUCUACAUGCCCAACCCUUCUUCGCCAUGUAUACACUGGUAAAGGUUACUGUGAUAGCCCAGCCCAAACGAAUUUAUGAUGGUUGGGUCAGCGGGUGUGCUGUGUCAAAGAGGAGUGAUCAAAAGUUAGUGUGAAUGGCCGCACGGAGGGAUUUGGUCAGUUGAUAUAAUAAAUACACUCGUAAAAGUUACUGUCAAUUGCACUACGGAGCGAUAUUAUGCAUGGUAACUGGAUUUUUGUUUUCCCGCGACCAAAAGCGGAACAGGAUUUUGGGGGCUAUUUUGUUUUCACAAUAAUUUUAUACAAAUUUAUAAUCUGUUAAGAUAAUUUUUUGGAAAAAUUUCAAAUACCAUCCUGUGAUUUUACACUUUCUCACUUUAGUACCAUAUGGUUUAAAGUGUAUCAAUUUAAUGUCCUGUGGUUUUAUUUUUCUUUUUUUACUAUCAAUUCCUUUUUCACAAAGUUAAAAUUAAAAGGUACUAGAAUGAAUAUUCGAUAAACCUAGGUCGGUAUCUGAAGUUUUUUUUUUGUAUAUAAUUUAACGAAAAUCUGAUGAAAAGAGAAAAAUGAAACCACAACGCACUAAAUUGAUACACUUUAAACCACAAAAUACUAAAAUGAGAAAGUGCGAAACCACAGGAGUAGUAUUUGAAGUUUAUCCUAAUUUUUUUUAAAUUUUACUUGAUCAACUAAAUAAUCUUUUGCCAAUUCAGUAUCAUAUUAGUGGGGAAAAAAAGAAGUACAGAGAAUUAUCUAUCAUUUUUUGUUAAAAUUUUUAUAUGAUUUUUAGAAUUAUAUAUAAUCUCUUUUUUACAGAAAAAAAAAAAGAAAAAGAAAGGCACGUCAUCUAAAUUAUUAAAGACAGCAAUUGAUUCAUUAUCUUCUAAUUAUUUUGUAAGCUUAUAUUAUUUCUCAACCUUACCCAACUUCACAAGUUUACGAGCUUAAAAUUCCCGGGGGUUUGGGGUCAUGGAGCAGGGGGUCUUUUUCCCAAUAAUUUUGUAAAAAAAUUUCAAUUUGACCAACAGUUACUAACGCAAGGGACAAAAAAUUUGGUGGUUGGUAUCUAAGAUUCUGAAUUUGAAUCCUUGGGUAGCAUGCUUCCUAUCUCUCUCAAAAAAAAAAAAAUCUAAUUUGUCAAAUAAUUUUUUAAAAAUUUUAUCUAAUCAACUAAUUAAUUAUCAUUUUGCCUAGUCAUUUGCCAUUUUUAGAUUGUUAUUAGUUCUUUUAUAAAUGUUAGAGUUGCAUGGAUAGAUUACCGGUACUUUUUAUGUUGCUAGGAUUAUAUAUGUAAUGUUUGUUAACGGAAAGACGAUAAAUAAUAAUUUAUUGUCUUCUAAAUUUUUAUUAAAGAGACAAUUGUUUAUAUAUUCCUGAAACGUUUUAGCUUUCUGAUUUAUCCAUCUUAAAAUGUUAAUAUUAAAAAUACACUUUUAAUGUUCUAAGUUAUUUCAAAUAUAUCCCUAAAGUUAAAUUCUGUUAGUGAACGACUAGCAACAACUGUUAUUUUUGUAAAAUUACUAUUUUAUCCUUUCGAAUAUAUCCUUUUAUUAUCACCAUUUUUUUUAUUUGUCCUUUAAGUAGUUAGGGACAGAAAAAAUAUUUUGAUUUUCGGUCUUUUCAAAUAUAUUUUUGUACCACCACCGAUUUUUCUUAUUUAUCUUUAAGUUAAGGAUAAAAAAAGUAAUUUGUUUUUUUUUAUUUUAACUCUGUAGAUAUUUAAUUCAUGUUUAAUCCGAGAUAACUCAACGAAUAGUAAUUGCGGAAGUAUUUCUGAAUAAUGGAGAAAUAUACGAGAGGCAUAUUUGAAAUAAAAAAAAAGUAAUGGUAAAUUAGAUAUUUUUAAAAUUUUGAAGGAUAUAAAGACAAUUAUUUUUUUUAUUAAAACUAAUAAAAAUUAGAUGAGAUAAAAUUAUUUGACCAAAUAAAAGUUUUAAAAUUUUAUUUAGUAAAUUAUAAACUUUUAAAGUGUUAAAUUGAAAAUUUUAAAACAAAAAAGUCCAGCUGUCGCUUUGGAGACCCACGCGUGCGCUGGAUUGUGGGAAAUUCCUUGGUAGAUAGGGGAGGGAGGGGCGGCGCAACGGGUCGGGUGGGCCGGGGCAUCGUUUUUGCGAGAAAAAUUCUACCCCCACAUCUCAUCUCAUUUUGGAAUGAUCGAUGAUGCACUUUUCAUGAUACUUUGAAAAGGUUUGUGGUGAUCGUUUUCACAAUAAAAUUUUGUGAAAAACUUCUAAUUUAUCAAAGCAAUUUUUUAAAAAAUUUUAUUUGAUCAACUGAUUAUCUUUUUGUUGAUCUAUUCACUAUUCUUAGAUUAUUGUUAAUUGCUUUUAUAGAUUGUACCGAUCCUCUCUAGAGCAAGUGGCAAAGGGCUUGGUGGUUGGUACCCGAGAUCCAAGUUUGAAUCCUAGUUGAUUCACAUUUCCAACUAAAUUUAUUUCUAAAUGAAAUAAACGAAACGGGUAGCGUGCUACCUAUCUCUCUCUCAAAAAAAAAAUUGCAUUUAUAGAUUGUAAAAAUUUUUGUAUGAGUUUUAAAAUUGUAUGCGAAUUAUUAGAAUUUUUAUUUAAUUGUUGGGAUUAUAUGGAUAAGUUGUGAGUUUUAAGUUGUUAGAAUUAUACAUAGUCAUUUUUGUUAAGAGAAAGAUGGUGAAUGAUUUACUGUCUUCUAAAUUUUAUUAAAAAUAAUAAAUGAUUCACAAUCUUUUAAUUAUUCUUUCAUCUCACUACUAGGACGAAAUAGAGUUAUCUGACUAAAUAAAAUAUUUAAACAAUUAUUCAACAAAUUAUAAAAUUAUAAAAUAUUAAAUUGAAAAAAAUGUCCUGCUUUUGCUUUGAGAACAUGGUGAGUUAUUUUGGAAGUGAGACGGCAUGACCCAAUUGUUACGGUCCAGACUAUUCUAUUCACUUAUUAACGGUUUAGAGUUAGGAGACCGCUUAAUUUUUUUCACUUAAAUUUUAUAUUUAGUUUAGUUAAAAAUUUUAUAAAGUUCAAUAAAUUUAUUAGUCUUUUCAAAUUUAACAAUCAAAUCAAAUCAAAUUUAAUAUUAAAUUCAAUACUAAAAAUUUUAAAAAAUUAUUUUAACUUUUAAAUAGAUUGGAUAUAAAAUUUAGAUCAGUGAUUUUAUUACCAACCUGCUUAUUUUGGUCCUUUGGCCUUGUUAGAAUUUGGGAAGGAGGUGCAUGGAAUAUACCCAUGUAACCCAUCCAUCGUAGAAAAAAUUCUAGAAUGCAACAGAUAUAUUGAUGACGUGACGUAACAAACCAAUCAAUUAUCUCCUUUUAGGGAUAUAUGUCCCAUCAUAAUUGUAAAAUAAUAUUUAUAUUGUAUUUUUGGUUGAAAAGAAAGAAUAUGAUUGACUUGUUAUUGAUGACGUGGUGCAAGUGUGAUAGUGUAGAAUUCCUCCCAUCCUAGAGUGAGAUGAUAGUAUUUACUUGUCACAUCAUUUUCAUUGUUUUAAUGAGUUGAAAUAAUGAGACAAAUAAAAAACUAUCAUCUCAUUCGAUGUGACAAGUAAAACUAAUCAUCCCACCCUAAUUACACCCUAAUCACAUUUGGUAAGGCUUAAUUACAGCCAAGUCCCCUACCCAAAAAACAAAAGAAAAAAAAACGCAAUUUAAUGGACAGCAAAGAUUAAAGCAGAGAUUGAGAUGCAGGGUUGAAAGGGAACGGGGCACCAACCUAGUGCACCUCACAUAGGCAAUAAAUGAUUUCAAAAUUUUGCUAUUAUUUAAUUAUACAUAACAAUUUUCUAAAUGUCUUUUUACCAAAUUAUAGUUUCAUUAAUAUUUGCUUAGUAUCGCCGGUGUCUUUAUAAAUAUCAAAAAUAUUUUCAAACAUUCUUAAUAAUAGAACUUUAUUUAAAUCGAAUGAACUAUUUCUAAAUUUUAUUUUUCACCUUCCGAUGAGCCAAAAACUUGUAAACUUACUUGUAGAUGAGUAAUUUCCACAAAUUUAGUAUGCUCUUCUAAACAAUUAAUGAAAUAAAAAUAAAUGGUCAUAAACUUAAGGGAAAACUUUAAAAAAACCCCUAUGGUUUUGCCCUUUCUCACUUGAGUGCUAUGUGAUUUAAAGUGUAUCAAUUUGAUGCCAUGUGAUUUCAUUUUUAUCUUUUCUAUAACUUUUUCGUUAAUAUUUUGUUAAAUUAUAUAUAAAAAAACUUCAGAUAACCACCUAAAUUUAUCAAAUAUUCAUUUUAGUAUCAUUUAAUUUUAACUUUGUCACUGAUUUAAGGUAAAAAAAAUGGUGAAAUUAAUAAUAAAAAGAUUAAAAUGAAAUCACAGGGCACCAAACUGAUACACUUUAAACCACUAGGCACUCAAGUGAGAAAGUGCGAAACCACAGGGAGAGUUUUUAAAGUUUUUCCUAAACUUAAUAAGGAAUAAAAAAAAAUUAUGCUAUAAGUUAUAAAAUAAAAGAAUAAAUCCUAAUUGUAUUAAUAUUUUGCCUUUAAGAAAUAGUUAAGAGCAAAUUGGAUUCGAGCAUUACAGAUUAUUUCGAUAUAACUAGAUAUCUGAAAAUUUUAAAUCAGAUAUUGUAUUACCAUAUUUGGUUGAAUACAGUAAUAUAAUGCUGAAUUUCAAUAUUGAAUUACUAUAUUUGACUCAGUUUAUAAAAUUUAUUAUUAGCUUAUUGCAAAAUUCCUCUUGUGCCAUAUUUAAUAUUUUUUUACUAAACAAUAAUUUAAUAUAAUUUAGAAUUAAUUCUAUUAAUAAACAAUAUAAAUAAAAAGACCAUAUAUAAAAAAAAAUUAUAAAGCCAAAAACUAAUCUCAAUCCAUAAGAACAAAAUAUAAAAGAUCAUAUUACAUACUCAUACGAUCAAAAAAUAAAUAAAAUUUAAUUUAGAAACUUAUUUAUAAGAAUUCGUACGAAUAUAAAUGGAGGAAGAGAGGGAGAGAAAGAGAGCGAAAGAGAUAAGAAAGAGAUAAAAAUAACAUAUUGAAAAAGGUUUUCUUUUAGAGGGGUAAAAUUAUAAUUUUAAGUAAUAUGCAAGAUUAUCCGCCCUUAGUAAUAUAAAAUAUCUACCCACCCACUCCGUAAUAUUUUCGAAAAAAUUUUACAUCAUUUGUAAUGUUACAUUACUAACCGUAUUACAGAUGAUAAACCAUCAGCAUUGCCUGUGAUCAUGGCAAAAUAAUUCGAACCAAAUACAUCCUAAAAGUAAAAUUUUUAUUUCACCCUGAAAGUAAAAUUAUUAUUUCGUUGAUUUAACUAGUUUAAUCUUUAUUUAACUAAAUAAGAGGCAUUUUGGACAAUCCAUGUAAAUAACUCUUAUUUGGAAUAUAUUGUACAUAUAGGUUGUGAUGCCUUAAACGGAUAAAAAAUAUUUUUGUUCAUUCAGUGGGUCUGAUCACUUGCCCAAUGAGUGUUUCCCUUGCAGGCUUAAAACAUGAUUACAAAAGAAAUUUAUUUUAGUUACCUAUAUUCACUGCUUCCUCUCAAAGGGAAGCCAAUUUUGACCGCAAGCCAUAUAUGCGGAAUUAGGAAACAAAGGCGAGGAAGUUAGGUUCAAUUAAGAGCCUGCAAAAUUCGAACUCAAACGAAUCUUAUCUAAGCGAUGAUGAAUGGAAUAAUUUAAACCACCCUGACUCAGUUGAGAUUCGCAAUCCGUCAAUAUAGCCAUGAGUUAGUAGCUUAGCAUGAUUCUUCUUAUACAGCUAGUAUUCUGCAGCUACAGCAAAAGGCAAGGAACGUUUAAUAAAAGGUCGUUAGCUCACUUGUACAUAAGUCUAUUCAAACUGCAGUCCUGCAGAAGCUCAAAUCGGCCAAAUAAGCCCCUUCAUAAACAUCAAGCAAAUAAAUCUCCGUAUAUAACACCCAUCCAACAGUUCUCACAUUAAUCACACAACAAAAGACCAUGGAUAAAUUGUUGGCGCUCCUUAAAACUCGGGCACUCGAAAUCAUUAAAACAUCUUUAUUUUUAUACUAUACAUACGUUAAACCACAUAUAUAGUAAUUAAAUUUCAAGCCCUUUCACAAUUAACUUCUUUUCUACUCUUCCUUGCGAACUUCGAUUUGUAUAUUUUUUAUCUUAAUAUCUAAUCAUGUACAAUUAAAUUCAUAAUCAUUCACCUCCGAACUAAUGGUAUAAGAUUCAAAUCCUUACAGAGUUUCAUCUUGUUGUGUGUAGUAAUUAGGGUGCGUUUGGUUCGCGCUAUCUUUUAAAGAUUUCUAUUAAUUCAAUGGGAAUAAAAAAAUAUGACGGUGUUUGACUAAACGCACUAAAUAAUCUAGUUGGUAAUAUUGGAUUCACUUGGGAAUAAGAUUCACCAAAGUACUAAUCUCAUUUCCUUAAGGGAGGGUGGGUAUCCUCAUAUUAAUGGAUUGGAAUAAUCAUAAUAUGUCAAAUCUCUUUCUUUCUUCCUACCCGCCGGCUAAUUGAUAUUAUUUUUCUUUACACUCUAACCUUAUAUUUCUCUCUAAACUUAUUUUUCUUUCUAAAAUUCAACUUUUUUUUCUCUCUCUUUCUAAAAUUUCAACUCUCUCACUCCCUCUAAUUUCGACUAUAUUUUUCUUUCUAUUUUUUUAAUUAUGUUCUCUCUCUCUAACUUAUACUCUCUCUCCCUUUUUUCUAAAAAGAUGUUGAAACUUUUGGUAACAUUAUCUAAAAUUAAUUAAAUAAAUAAAUUAAUUAAUUGUAUAUUUUUUGUAAUAUUAAAUAACAUGGCUAAUUAAUAUUACCGUGCCAACCAAACACAGGAAUUCUAUAUUUUUAAUAAUAGGAUGAAUAGGAAUAAGAUUUUCGGAUAUCUUUUAUUUCUAAUAAUUUUUCAUAAUGCGAACCAAACGCACCCUUAGUGUAAUACGGUAUACGGCCGGUGCAUCCCAACACUACACCGAGAAGCAUAUACAAAGAUACGUAAGUGUGAGAACUUUUUUAACAGCAAAUUUACAGUAUCGUUUGAUAUUUUGUUGUUUACAGAUACCCAAAAAAAAAAAGGUCCAAAUUCCAAACAAUAUGAUAUAAAUAAUUUUUUUCUUCUACAAACAAUAGAAAAAUCCCAACACUACAAAAUUUCAGAGCAUCCAAACAGGCCCUUUUAAUACACAGGGCACAGACAAUUCUCAAGUCAUUAUCCAAAUUCCCAAAUGCCUUCACCUGAUGGGUUGAUUUGUAACAACUUGUAUAAAAUUGCGUAGAACUAACCUAAACUUUGAACGGUUUGGAAAUAACUAUCUGAAUUGAAAAUUUUCCAUGCAUGAUCUGCUCAUCUGCCCUCCAUUGCAUUUAGCAAAUAAUCAUUUUUGAGAAAAUGAGAGUGGGUUGUUCGCUUCGUUAAUUGAGGUCUUGUUUGGAUGUCUAAAUAACUUAUUUGGUACGAGAGUUUUUUAGUAUGAUCGUAAUUAAAAAGUUUGAUUUUUGUUUCUGCAAAAAUUUU